GCCUCAAGUUAUGUGUGACAACCCCCUGAAUUUAAGCAUAUUAAUAAGGGGAGGAAAAGAAACCAACCGGGAUUCCCUGAGUAGCUGCGAGCGAAACGGGAGAAGCUCAGCACGUAGGGAUGGCGGCCCGCCCGUCUAUCCGAUUCCGUGUACUGGUACGUCUCACUAUCCGUCUUCCUAGUGGUAUUCAAGUCCAACUUGAACGUGGCUUUGAACCCAUAGAGGGUGAUAGGCCCGUAGAACACCACCCAGCGGUUGAUGGACCGAGCGUACCAUGGAGUCGUGUUGCUUGAUAGUGCAGCACAAAGUGGGAGGUAAACUCCUUCUAAAGCUAAAUACGACCAUGAGACCGAUAGUAAACAAGUACCGUGUGGGAAAGUUGAAAAGCACUCCGAAUAGAGAGUCAAAUAGUACGUGAAACUGCCGAGGGUGUAAAGCCUGUUGAACUCGAUUAUCCGUAGUUCCUGGCAUCGUGGGUUUUGGCUGUCACGCAGAAGGGGGCCUUCUGUAUGCCUUGACCCUAGCCAGGAACGAGUGCGGACAUCGUGAUCCAUUACGCAAACCAAAUGCGAGCGGCGACUCCGGUUGCUGCGAGCAUAUCCAACAUCAGGUCCCAGAACAUGCGGUCGACCCUCUAGUAGUGGCGCUCAGCUUAAGGCCGGCGUCGCGAACGGGGGAUCGAGGCUCCGGUCUCGAGUUCGGCUAGUUCCGGUGUGCCGUUGGAUGCGUGAUGGGCAUUGAAGUGAACUAGAGAAGUGUGAAGCGCAUGUUUGGGCAUGUUCAAGGGCGAAAGCCUGAGCCGAGCACGACUCCGGAUCUACGAUGUACUAACUAAUCGAGGUACCUACGGGACCCGUCUUGAAACACGGACCAAGAAGUCUAUCUUGCGCGCAAGUCAAUGGGAGUAGCAAACCCAAAGGCGAAGAUAACACAACUGCAAAGUCGUUGCGGGAUUACGGGUGCACCACAGUCCGCGAGGACUGGCUAGCUGUGCCGCCCCUCCAUCCCCGGGUGUUUAGCAACGGAUCUGUAGUGCCGCGGACCCCCCGACAGGGGUGGGCAUUUGCAGAGCCAACGCGACAUACCGCGAGCGCGCAGGAUGUGACCCGAAAGAU
rnacentral:rRNA from 1 species